CAACCCUUGAGAGUGGCGAACGGGUGAGUAAUAUAUCGGAACGUGCCCAGUCGUGGGGGAUAACGUAGCGAAAGUUACGCUAAUACCGCAUACGAUCUAAGGAUGAAANCGGGGGAUCGCAAGACCUCGCGCGAUUGGAGCGGCCGAUAUCAGAUUAGGUAGUUGGUGAGGUAAAGGCUCACCAAGCCGACGAUCUGUAGCUGGUCUGAGAGGACGACCAGCCACACUGGGACUGAGACACGGCCCAGACUCCUACGGGAGGCAGCAGUGGGGAAUUUUGGACAAUGGGCGCAAGCUGAUCCAGCAAUGCCGCGUGCAGGAUGAAGGCCUUCGGGUUGUAAACUGCUUUUGUACGGAACGAAACGGUGAGCUCUAAUACAGUUUGCUAAUGACGGUACCGUAAGAAUAAGCACCGGCUAACUACGUG
rnacentral:rRNA from 1 species